AGGCGAUGAAAGACGUGAUACUCUGCGAUAAGCCAUGGGGAGCUGAGAAUAAGCUUUGAUCCAUGGAUUUCUGAAUGGGGGAACCCACCUGACAGUUUUCUAUAAUUGCUUCGGCAAUUUAUAGGCGGCUGAACCAGGUAUUUAUAGACUGAAUACAUAGGUUUAUAAAAGCAAACCCGGGGAACUGAAACAUCUAAGUACCCGGAGGAAAGGAAAUCAAUUGAUACUCCCCUAGUAGCGGCGAGCGAACGGGGACCAGCCGAGCCUUGAGAGUGAAUUGAAUGGUCUGGAAAGGCCAACCAUAGUGGGUGACAGUCCCGUAAAUGAAGCUCAAUAGGACGUAUUAAGUAGGGCGGAACACGUGAAAUUCUGUCUGAAGAUCGGAGGACCACCUUCGAAGGCUAAGUACUCCUUACUGACCGAUAGUGAACCAGUACCGUGAGGGAAAGGUGAAAAGCACCCCGACGAGGGGAGUGAAACAGUUUCUGAAACCGGACGCCUACAAUCAGUCGGAGGCUCCUUGAGAGCUGACGGCGUACCUUUUGUAUAAUGGGUCAUCGACUUGGUCUAUCUAGCAAGCUUAAGCCGUUAGGUGUAGGCGCAGCGAAAGCGAGUCUUAAUAGGGCGAAUGAGUUAGAUGGAUCAGACCCGAAACCGAGUGAUCUAGGCAUGACCAGGAUGAAGGUAAGGUAACACUUACUGGAGGUCCGAACCCACACCUGUUGAAAAAGGUCGGGAUGAGUUGUGCCUAGGGGUGAAAGGCCAAUCAAACUCGGAGAUAGCUGGUUCUCCGCGAAAUCUAUUUAGGUAGAGCGUCAUCCGAAUACCCCGGGGGGUAGAGCACUGGAUGGGUAAUGGGGCCCCACAGGCUUACUGAUCCUAACCAAACUCCGAAUACCCGGGAGUACUAGAUGGCAGACACACUGCGGAUGCUAACGUCCGUAGUGAAGAGGGAAACAACCCUGACCUCCAGCUAAGGCCCCUAAUUCAUGGCUAAGUGGGAAAGCAGGUGAGACGGCCAAAACAACCAGGAGGUUGGCUUAGAAGCAGCCAUCCUUUAAAGAUAGCGUAACAGCUCACUGGUCUAAAUAAGCUGUCUUGCGGCGAAGAUGUAACGGGGCUCAAGCCAUGAGCCGAAGCUGAGGAUGCACAUAGUGCAUGGYAGCGGAGCGUAGUGUGACAUAGUUCCAUGCGUUUUAGCUUUAUGGAAGCCCGCGGCGCUCAAGUAGCGAAGCGGUAGCGCAUAAAGUGAUGAACGCAAGGAGCUUUCAGUGAAGCGGGCGCGUGAGCGAUCCCGUGGAGAGAUCACUAGUGAGAAUGAUGACAUGAGUAGCGACAAACAGGGUGAGAGACCCUGUCGCCGAAAGUCCAAGGGUUCCUGCUUAAAGCUAAUCUGAGCAGGGUAAGCCGGCCCCUAAGUCGAGGCAGAAAUGCGUAGACGAUGGGAACCACGUUAAUAUUCGUGGGCCAGGAGGAUGUGACGGAUCAUGAAGGUUGUUCACUCUUAUUGGAUUGAGUGGGCCGCUAAUUGGUUCCUGGAAAUAGCCCUCCAUCAGACCGUACCCUAAACCAACACAGGUGGACUGGUAGAGAAUACCAAGGCGCUUGAGAGAACUAUCUUGAAGGAACUCGGCAAAAUACCUCCGUAAGUUCGCGAGAAGGAGGCCCAGUGUUUACGCAAGUAGAUACUGGGGGCACAAACUAGGGGGUGGCGACUGUUUACUAAAAACACAGGGCUCUGCGAAGUCGUAAGACGACGUAUAGGGUCUGACGCCUGCCCGGUGCCUGAAGGUUAAAAGGAGGGGUGAGAGCUCUGAAUUGAAGCCCAGGUAAACGGCGGCCGUAACUAUAACGGUCCUAAGGUAGCGAAAUUCCUUGUCGGGUAAGUUCCGACCUGCACGAAUGGCGUAACGACUUCCCCGCUGUCUCCAAGAUAGACUCAGCGAAAUUGAAUUGCCUGUCAAGAUGCAGGCUUCCCGCGGUUAGACGGAAAGACCCCGUGCACCUUUACUACAGCUUCACAUUGGCAUUAGGCCGAGCAUGUGCAGGAUAGGUGGUGGGCUUUGAAGCGUGAACGCCAGUUUGCGUGGAGCCUCCCUUGAGAUACCACCCUUGCUCUGCUUGAUGUCUAACCGCGGUCCAUUAUCUGGAUCCGGGACCCUGUGUGGCGGGUAGUUUGACUGGGGCGGUCGCCUCCUAAAGCGUAACGGAGGCGCGCGAAGGUUGGCUCAGAGCGGUCGGAAAUCGCUCGUUGAGUGCAAUGGCAGAAGCCAGCCUGACUGCAAGACUGACAAGUCGAGCAGAGUCGAAAGACGGCCAUAGUGAUCCGGUGGUCCCGAGUGGAAGGGCCAUCGCUCAACGGAUAAAAGGUACGCCGGGGAUAACAGGCUGAUACUGCCCAAGAGUCCAUAUCGACGGCAGUGUUUGGCACCUCGAUGUCGGCUCAUCUCAUCCUGGGGCUGGAGCAGGUCCCAAGGGUACGGCUGUUCGCCGUUUAAAGAGGUACGUGAGCUGGGUUUAGAACGUCGUGAGACAGUUCGGUCCCUAUCUGCCGUGGGUGUAGGAUACUUGAGAGGAGUUGCCCCUAGUACGAGAGGACCGGGGUGAACGAUCCACUGGUGUACCAGUUGUUCCGCCAGGAGCAGUGCUGGGUAGCUAUGAUCGGACAGGAUAACCGCUGAAGGCAUCUAAG
rnacentral:rRNA from 1 species